CUACUAGUCGUAAUGUCGUACUAUUAUUUAGUAGCAAAAUAUACUAAUAUAAUUGCGCAGGCAAACAGCCAAUUAAACGCGCCAUUGAUUGAUUGAUUCGCAAAGCCGCGUCGCGUGCACCACAUGCCCCGCACGGCCGCAACGCCCGUAGGAGCAUAUACCCACCGUCCCCACAACGACCGCGUGGGCCCGGCCGCCGCAGGCUCGCGCGUCCACUCACGUGACGUGACGGUGCACCCGGGUCCUCGCAGCUUCUCACAAUUUUUGAACUUGCGCCCCGCACCCGCGGGACUGGGAGGGACUGGGGAGUAGAUGUGGAGUAGAGAUGGCAAGGAGUAAUUACCGCUGGGUAUAUGCCACCUAUAUUCUUACCCACGAGAAAAUAUUUUACCCGUUAAUUUAUCAUACUUGUGCAAGGGUAAGAGUUUUGGCUCAUACCUUUACCCAUGCGGGUAACAGGUAACCCAUAGGUUAUCUUUACCCAUGAUUCCAAGAAUACUUAAAAAAAAUAAAUACAUAUUUAAAUAUUUCAGGCUCCUAAUUUCAACCAAAGCAUCACAAGUUAUUAAUAAAAUCAUCAAAUAUACAAGCUCCAUGAACAUCUGAUCAAGUAAUUACUAGAUAUCAAGUGCCAAAAUUCACAAGUUCCCGUGUUGUGCGGCCGCUGCAAGGAGAUAGGGGAAAGGGGAGGGAGCAGAUGGGUGAGGGUCUAGAGUUUGACAGCAUUAUAUAUAAUUUUUAUUGGGCUUGGGCUGUGUAUGGUCAUUUUGGCUCAUGAUUCUAACUUAUUGAAUUGGGUUAAAAUUACCCAUGGGUUAACGGGUAUGGACAAUGCAGUCUCAUACCCUUACCCGCUUUACCCGCUGGGUAAAGAUUUUUUCUCAUUAUCUUAACCAUGGGUAAAAAAAAUAGCCAUACCCUUACUCUAAUGAGGUAAUGACCCAUCGGUUUUGGGUUUCGGAUAAAGAUUAUCAUCUUUAACGGGGAGGCAGGGAGGGAUGAGCGGCAAGGGCGCAAGGCCCCCUCAAACUUUGGGGUAAUUUCGUGCAGGUCCCUCCGGUGGAACGCGCAUGUGUGGGGCCAUGGCAAGAAACCGGCGGAGGGAGCUGGGUGGCUCGCGGCAUGCUAUUGCUUGUUGCUGUGUCAGUCAGCAAGCGACAGGGGAGACAAAAUUCUUGACGGCCAAGCCACGACACGACACGACAACCAGCUGCAGGAGGAGCACUCGCCGUCGCAGGAGCCAUGCCACCUGGCGGCGGAUAAUCUACUGCGUUGUUUGCUCCUUUUAUCCCGGUCUUCAACAUUGCUCAGGCCUUGGCCUUGUUUCGUUCAAAAAAUUUUAGAUUUCGCUACUGUAGUAUUUUUGUUUUUAUUUGACAAAUAUUAUCUAAUCAUAAAUUAAUUAGAAUUAAAAGAUUCAUCUCACGAUUUACAAAUAAACUGUGUAAUUAGUUUUUGUUUUUGUCUAUAUUUAGGGCCUGUUUGGUACAGCUCACAACAGCUUUGUGAGCUGUUUUUUUUUGCCAAACACUUAUUUCCAAAACAGCUUCAUGGGUGAAGCUGUUUUCCCCUCCUCUCACAAAAAUAUAAGUUGGGAUGAAGCUGAAAAAAAGUAGCUUAUUGCAGCUCUCUCUCUCAUUUCUCUCUCUCAACUAUGCAUGAAGUAGUUUGUGAAGCUAUUUUGCCAAACACUUUUUCCAAAACAGCUCAGCUUCAUCUAGAAAGUCACUCAUAAAGCUAUUUUCUAAAAAAACAGCUUUACUAGUGAAGUUGAGCUGUGCCAAACAAGCCCUUAAUACUUCAUGCAUGUGCCGCAAGAUUCGAUGUGACGGAGAAUUUUGAAAACUUUUUGGAUUUCGGGGUGAACUAAACAAGGCCCUUGUUUAGACACGAAAAAAAUUUGGAUUUUGCUACUGUAGCACUUUCGUUUGUUUGUGGUAAAUAUUGUCCAAUCAUAGAUUAACUAGAAUCAAAAGAUUCGUCUCGUGAUUUACAGGCAAACUGUAUAAUUAGUUUUAAAUCUCCUCCAACUUUCAAGCUCGAGAGAGGUGAAUCAGUUACCUAACAAUUCAGGGUCCAAUAUAUUUAAUUAAAAAAUUUGGAAGAACGUUUUUUUUAAUAAAAAACAACUUUUUGGAAAGAUAUGAAACGUGUUUAAGAUCUUCUCUCUAAGAGAAAGCUCUUCUUUCUUUGUGUUUUUUAGUAGAUGCUCUCUUUAUUUUGUUAUAAUUAUUAGUCUACGAUGAUGACCCAAACUAGGAGCUAAAGUGACUUUGAGAAUAUUACGACUCCACAAAAGUGUUAUGUAACCACCUCAUGCUUCAUCUUUUUAAGCAUCCAUGGAGUGUUACAAUUUUGUGCUAAUACUCUCUUGGCUCUCAAAUAUAUCAACUCCUAAAGUGGUUUUUAAAUCAAAAUGAGUUCCUUACACAAGCUAUACCAAGUUAUAUUCAUAUGAUUACCGAGGUUGGGGUGGCUCACUAUGGGGCGAAGGAGAGGUAAGACGACGUUGGGGACAAGGAAUGGGGGCGGGGCUCCUCGAGGUGGCAUGGCACUCCUUGAGGUGACGAGGAUGAAGGUUGCGGUGCUCGUGGCCGGCGGGAAGGGGGCGUGGCUCCUUGGGGCAACAUGGAUGAAGACGACGACACUACUAACGGCCGAUAGAGACAAAAACGGUGAUGAUGCUCAACAACGACAAACAAUGGAGGAGAUGAAAUGUUGAUGGCUAGGAGAUAAUGCUAGAGGUGGGGAGGCAAAGUUUUUGUUAUGUAGGGAGGCACUUCACUAAUGGAAGAGCUGUUUUGCCAAACGGUUUACUAAAAUGGCUUUAGCUCCAUCAAUAGAGUUGUUCAAGGAGCUAAAGCCUUCAAAAACAGCUUCACUGAUGAAAUAAAGCCGUGCAAAAUGGGGCCUAUGUGUUUUAAUGGUGCAAGAAGAAUGCUCAUGAAGAUAAGGCCACGAUUGAAACCAGAGCAUGCUGGGGGAGUGAGUCCAGGCACCUUGGUUAUUGCAAGAACUGCCCACUUGGUUGUAGGUCUGCUUCAUAGUUUUGGAUGGUCGUCGGGUUGUCCUUGAUCUAGUAGAAAAAUUAUUUUAAUCAUGAAAAAUUUAAGCUUUUGUUAGAUAUAUUCAAUAAAUGGUAUGAAAAUUUUUAUAAAUUUUAUGUUAUACAUUUUUCUUGGUUGCACGUUAUAUACCCAUGUUUGUAUGCAAACUUCAAAGUUUGACUUUCGCAUAAAUGACCCGUUUGGCACGGCUGGAGCUAUUUUGGGGGUUUUAGCUCCAUAAACAGCUAUAUUGGUAGAGCUAGAGCUGUUUUGGUAAAUCAUUUGGCAAAACAACUUCUUUUUUAAAAUAUGCUCUCACAAAACGUCAUAUAGGAUGAGGUGAAGUCGGGACAAGCUACUAUUUUUUUCUCCUUCAUACCUAAAGGCUCUAUGAGAGCACGUUUUAGGGGCUUCAUCGGUGGAGUCAUUUCAUUUUACGCCGUUUGGUAGAAAACGGCUCCAAACGACUUUUGAAGCAGAGAAGCCCUGCCAAAUGGGGUCAAAGUGUAUCUAUGUUGUAAAUAAUGUAUAUGCUCCAUUUAUUAAAGCUGUUUAAAAAGUUUACAGCAAGCGUAUACACCCAAAAUAUGCGUGUUUUUUAUUUUUUGGGGGGCCGCUUUUAGGUGGUAUUAGCAUUAAUUAGUGGUAAUCUGGACACAAAAUGUUAAAUUAUCCUUGUAAACCAAUUCAUUUUUUAUACUCCCUCUACCCCUAAACAAAUAGAUUUCUAGAGUUGUCAUAAGUCAAACUUUUAAAAUUUUAGUCGAAUUUCUAGAAAAAAACAUUAAGAUUUAUAAUUUCAAAUUAGUAACAUUAGAUUUACCAUUAAAUAUAUUUUCAUAAGGUGCUCAUUUUAUAUCAUAUAUUUUGUUUCUAUUUUCUAUAAAGUUAGUUAAACUUAAAAAAGUUUGGUUGGUAUGGAUUCUAGGAAUCGAUUUAUUUGGAGAUGGGGGGUAUCCGACGAAUAAUUAAAUGAACCAUAUGGUCUUAAAUAUAAUUUUUUUGUAUUUUUUGAAUUUUAUUGGGUGCAUGCAGUUUAAUUUUGAAUUUUUUUUGAUAUGCACACACAAAAUUACUUUGAACUAUAAAAAAUAGUGUGUUAUUCCAAAAAUUUCUAAAACUCGCGGAUAAUAAAAUUAGGAUGCAGAGGUUUUAUAUCAUAACAGUAAUAGAGACCUUAAAAAUAUUACAUAUAGGAUAACAAAGACUUUUAGAGAAAAGUUACAACAUUCUCCUCACUAGACCAAUGUUAGCAUCGAAAUCUAGAAAAACAUUAUAUUAUAGCCAACCCCAUGAAUAUUUAUCUAGCAUCCAAGUGGCCGAGUGGGGUAUCAAAGGUGCAAGAGCAUAUUGGAGCGGCGGACGAGUCACUAAGGGCGUCCCCAAUAACCUUUUUAAUAGCUAGUUGACCUGGAGCCCGAAAACAAUUAAAUAAUAAAAAGUAGAUAGUGGUAAAGUAUGUUAGUGAGUGAAAUUUUCUUGAAAAACGUGCGAGCUAAGCUCUUGGUUCAUCGCUAGCGAGAUGAGUUCUUCGUUUCUCUUUCUUCUAGAUUGGGCAGAUGUUCCUCCUAGCUAGCUGACUGUACCACCGUUGGGGACGCCCUAAUGCCUCUCGCUCAAAUGUGACUCCGUCUAAUAACUAACCGGAUCAUGCUAGCAUUGCUCCUAGUGCACCCUAGCUUCAGCGUGCCUCUAUCUUCAUGAACAUUCUUCUAGUAUCUGUAGUACAUCAUCUUGUUUUGACUAUAAAGAGAAGAUGUUUGUGGAGGGAUUUCUCCAGAAAAAGAGUUCCUCUCUCACAGAGAUCACAGAGAUCACGUAGCGUAGUUUGUCCUUGUUUGGUGAAAUGAAAAGGAUGCCGGCACCAGCGCCAUUGAUGUUUAAAGACCCAUCGAAGAACAUUGACCAGUGAUCGAAGACAUCUGGAGGGGGUGGUGCGUUGAGAUCUGUCCAUUCUGCGAUGAAACGACCAGGGCUUGAGACUUGACGGUUGUUCGACUCUAGAAGUCUAACAAAAAUGGACAUAGCUCCAUAGCCCAUUUUACAAUCCUGUCGUUGGCGUCCUUGUUGCGCAGGAUGUCCCCCAACGGAAAACUCGUGGUAACUAAGACGCGAUGGCCAUCGAAGUAUAUAGUGCUUCAGCUUCCUUGAGGAAAUUAAGAUGGCGUAGAUUAAUUUUUGUAUCUGGGGAUACCUAGUCUUAGACUCAUUUAGGACUUCGCUUAUGAAGUAUACUAGUCUCUAGACUUUGUAGAUGCGGCCUUGUUCGUCCCGCUCGACCACGAGCACUGUGGAAACGACCCGAUCAGUUGCUGCUAUAUAGAGGAGUAGGUCCUCCUUAGAUUGAGGUGCGGUGAGGACGAGUGGUGAGGUGAGGAAAGUUUUGAGCUAGGUGAAUGCAGCGUUGGCCUCUUCUGUCCAGGAGAAUUUUUUCGAUGCUUUUAGAAGUCUAAAGAAGGGAAGCCCUUUUUCCCCAGCCUGGAGAUAAACCGGCCGAGAGCAGACAUGCACCCCGUGAGCUUUUGAACGUCUUUUACGUUCUUGGGUGGUCGCAUAUCGAGCACCGCCUUGACUUUUGAGGGGUUUGGCCGUAUGCCAUCGCGACUGACGACGUUGGCGAGCAGUAUACCAUAGGGAACCCCAAAGAUGCAUUUUUUGGGGUUAAGCUUCCACUUUUAUUUAUUUAGCACUUUAAAAGUGCGGUCUAAGUUGUCGAUCAGGGUGCUUGCGUCCUUGGUUUUGACGACAACGUCAUCGACGUAAGCCUCGAUGAGGUCAUCACGUAUCUCGUCGUGGAGGCAUUGCUGAAUAGCGCGUUGAUAGGUGGCUCCGGCGUUUUUGAGUCCGAAGGACAUGGUGGUGUAGCAAUACGCACCGAAAGGAGUGAUGAAGGAAGUUUUGAUCUGGUCGUCUUCCUUUAGCGAGAUCUGGUGAUAACUAGAGUAGCAGUCGAGAAAAGAGAGUAGUUCGCAUCCAGUCGUUGAAUCGACCACCUCGUCUAUACGAGGGAGACUGAAAGGAUCUUUAGGACAGUGUUUUAUUGAGAUCAGUGUAAUCAACACACAUUCUCCAUUCAUUAUUCUUUUUUCUUACAAGGACCGGAUUGACGAGCCAAUCGGGGUGAUACACUUCUUUAAUAAACCCGGCUACUAAAAGUCGUGUAAUAUGUGUCCUAAUAGCCUCCUUUUUUCACGAGCGAACCGUCGUAGCUUCUGCUUGAUAGGUCUUGCGGUCUUCGAGACAUUUAAGGAGUGCUCGAUCAGGCUUCAUGGGACGCCGGGUAUGUCUGCGGGUUUCCUUGUGAAAACGCUCACGUUGUCCGUUAGAAAACAUGACGAGCGCGUCUUCCUAUUUGGCGUCCAGAUUGGCUCCGAUGAGAGCCGUCUUCUCUCGGCUGCCGUCGACUAGUUGUACUUCCUUAUGCUCCUUGGACUUGGAGCUUUUUCUUGGAGUCUCCUGCUCGGGUAGUUGGAGCUGGUCGGGUGGGAUUUCAGUGGCUUGUGCUACAGUUCCUGCCAUGCGAAUCGAGAGGUCAAUUGCCUCGGUGAUCUUGAAGCUUUCUUCUUCGCAAGUGUACACGGUGUAGACGUUGCCUCUUACGGUUAAGAUGCCCUUCUCGGUCGGCAUCUUGAGGACUAGGUAUGAGUAGUGUGGAACUGCCAUGAACUUGGUAAGCGAAGGACGACCUAGGAUUGCGUGGUAGGUCCCAUCCAAGUCGGCGACCACAAAGUUGACGAACUCUGUACGGAAGUGGUCUGGCGUUCCGAACUGGACGGGCAGCGUUAUCUGGCCAAGGGGUACUGAACUUUGACCCGGCAAGCCGCCCCGGAACUAAGCGUCAUACGGUUUCAGCUACGCCGGAGUUAGCUUGAGAGCAGGCAAGCUGUUGCGGAACAGGAUAUCGAUGGAGCUACCCCCGUCAACGAGCACACGCUCGAACCUGACGCUGUUGAUGCACGGGUCCAGGAUCAACGGGAAGCGCCCUGGUUCUAGGAUGGCGGCCCACUGGUCCUGCCUGUUGAAGGAAAUCUCUCAGUGCAACCAGGGAGGGAAUUUAGGAUCGGCGAUCAAACCAUCAGCGCUGUCCACAUUAAGGCAUGCCCGCUUCAAGAGCUUUCUUUCUCGUUUUGACUCAAUGGAGACUUUGUCUCCAAAGAUGGAGUGUACCACGUCGGUGGGACUGACAUAUUGGUGCCGUGGGUCCCUAUCCUGGUCAUCGUCUUCGUCUUCCUGACUCCGUCUGUCCUGUUUCCCGUUUUUCUUGGCGGCAUCUCCCUAUGUGGUCCGCUGUGUGUAGAUGCUUUUGAGGACACAACAUUCUUCCAUCGUGUGGUUGGACUUUGGAUGGAGUUGUCACGGUCCUUUCAGCAUCUUGUUGUAGUCUUCCCGGUAGUCUCGUCGUCCAUUGGGACACUUGACUAUGUUCACCUCGUGAUCGUUGUCGCAAGGUCGCUUGCCUCUGAAAUCGUCACGAUUUUCACGACGCCUGUCCCACCCUUCUCGGUGGUCGCGGUUGUCACCGCGGCGAGGAUUCCGGUUGUCAAAAUGCCCACGGCUGUCGUCUCGGCGGGGAGGCUGCUCGGCUCCUCUUACAUCUUCUCGGAUGAGCUUUUCUGCGUCGUCGGCGUCGGCGUAGUUUUUGGCCGUGGUGAGGAGCUCGGCGACCGUGGUCGGCCUUUUGCGCAGUAGCUUGCUUCUUAAUGCUUCGUGGAAGCGUAGGCCCUUGAUGAAGACCGAUAUGGCCUCGUCAUGAGAAAUCUUCGGAAUCUUGAGGCGCAUAUCCGAGAAGCGUCGGAUGUAAUCGCGCAAGGGCUCAUUCUUCCUGUCCCUUAUCCUCUCGAGAUCGUAUUUGUUUCUAGGCUGCUCGCAGGUAGCAAUGAAAUUAUCAAUAAACGCCUGGCGUAAUUCCUCCCAAGAAUCGAAAGAGUCUUCGAGUAGACCAAGGAGCCAUUGGUGGCCAGCUUGGUCGAGGACGAGUGGGAAGUAAUUUGCCAUGACGUGCUCGUCCCCUACUGCUGAUCGGACUGCGAUCUCGUAAAGAGUGAUCCAGUUUUCGGGAUUCUCCUUGCCAUCGUACUUUUUAAGCUUCUCAAGCUUGAAGUUGCGGGGCCAUACGACUUGGCGAAGGUGUGAGGAGAACUGUUUUAGGCCGGGGGGGCCAUGUGCUGCAUCGUACUCGAUGCGUCGCACGUUUUCGUGUACUGCUCGUUCUGUAAUGCGCCUGUUGAUGCGCUCGCGGACAUCCUUAGGAGGGAUGUUGUGUCGUAGAUCUCGGUCUUGGUUCACCUCCUGACCAUGUCUGCGUCUUUGUUCGUGGUAACUGUCAGCGUCCCGACCACGAUUGUCGCGAUGGGUGUCCUUCCUUUGAUUAUUGAUAGGUGAACGGCUACGACGGUGUCCACCGGGUCACGGUGAGGUGCGGCUGCGAUGAGUCUGGUCAGAGGUGACCUCCGUAUAGGAGACGGCUUGGACCCUUUUGAGCAGAGUAGCGGUCUGUCCUAUGGUCGCGAUCAGAUGCGCUCGUAUGUUGGUACGAACGUCCUGAUAUUCUGGAGUAUCCGGAAGUCGAUCAAGAUUUGCCAUGGCGACGGCCACGUUGGCACUUGGUGUCUUGAACACUUGCUGAUUUCCAACCAUGUCAAAAGCAUCGUCAAGGUUGUUUGGAGUUAAUUGCCGCUCCUCAUCUGCUCGCCGCUGAGCACGAUCGGCGUUGCGCUGUUCGUGCUGUUGUCUUUGUUCGUCGGUUUCGCCGUUAACAACUGGUUCGUCAUUGCUGACGUUGAAAACCAGAUCUCCUCGUCGAGGUGGAAAGACGGGAAAGCGAGAAAAACCCGGGGGUAAGGUGGUAGAUCCAAGCAGUAGUCUUCGUCCUCGUGGUGUAAAAUCUCGGUAGGGACAGAUCCUGUGCUAGAGUUUGUGUUGGUGGCCUUGUCGUCUGGUAGAGUUCGGAUGGAUACCAUGUUGACAAAGUGACGAGCUGACCUACUGGUUUGCCCCGGCGACAAUCCCAUCUUCCCGAAUAGAGAAUCGGUAUGCCGCGAAAAUUGAUUAGCCGCGUUGCUCAGACCAUGAGGGAAGUUUUGGUCUGGUGAGGCUGUCUUGAACUUGACAGUCCGUCCCGCGGUGGUCGAUGUUAUCGUCAAGAAUGUCUCCAGUCGUUCGUGCGUGGUGACACGAGUUGGUCGAUGGGAGUCGAAAAAAAUUUGAAGUUGCCGCUUGAUCGGGCUUGCGUGAAAUCGAAUCCACCAGGUUGGAGGCUUCGAGAAGUUUGUGGUCGGCGCGAUCGAGGGCUUGAAGAAGAUCCGAGUUGUCGACUCGCUUUGCCUUGUAGCGAGGGAGCGGAGGUCGGGCCCUCGGGGUCGGCGUGAUCGGAGUCGACGCCUUUGUUGUCCCAGAUUGGAUCUGAGUUUCUUCCAGAGUCGUGGUCGUAAGGCCGCCGUCGCGAGUUGUCCAAGUGAUCUGCCCAACAGUGAACGUGAGGCCUUCAGCCACGGCCGCGGAAGUUGGGAUGAUGACCAUCUUGUUCGUCUGGGAAGCUGUACGCACACCCCCUACCUGGCGCGCCACUGUCGACGAAAGCUAGUCGGCAGUCUACCCUAGGGUAUACCCACGGUUGUAGUUUAUCGGCAGACAGGUGUGCAAGCUACGAACUUGAUGGUGACGCAAGACACGGACAAGGUUUUUAUCCAGGUUCGGCUGCCGUGUGGGCGUAAUACCUACGUCCUGCGUCUGAUUGUAUUGGAUUGUGUUGAGUUGAGAUGAAUUGUCUUAGGGGGGUCCCUUGCCUCUCCUUAUAUAGUUCAGAGGACAGGGUUACAGAUCUGGAAACUAAUCCUAGUCGGUUACAAUUGCCAUAGAUGACACGAUAUCAAUUCCUAUUCUAACCGACUAGAAUCUGGUUUGAUCUCCACGUCUUGUUUCCUUGCGCGAAACUCCGAGCAGCUGGAUCAAGCCUCGAACUCGUCUCGUAAUGGGCCAAGCCUCCUAGCCCAAGUCUGGCCGUAAGGGUAUAGGGGUUUAUACCCCCACAGGAUUCAUAUGAAACUACAAGCACGGGACCUUAACUGUUUAUGGAGUGGGGUUCAUUUGGCUGAUAAGUCAUAACAAAAAGUAUAGUAGACUGAUAAGCUCAAACGAACAAGCUAAGGUGAAUGACCACCGUCAGGUCAAUUAAAAAACCAGACAGUAAUGUCAUUAUGUCGCUGCCAGGUUAAGUACGAUCAGGUAUUGGUAUAUCAUUGCCGGGUUAAAGUUCCACCGGACAGUAAUAGGUGUCAUCACUGUUGGGUCUCUAGGAUCCACAAUCAUUUGCCGAAUUCUAGUUCAUAUGACCGACCGCACAGGUCCUGUCUCCGCACUUGAAUAUGGACAAGCACAGACAAGAAGGUACGUCGGCUGGAAAUGCCUUUAUAACUGGUACUCCAAAGAGAUGCUGAUGUGUGACUGCUUGCUCGCUGUUAUGAACUACGUAUAUGGCACCUUUUUGUAUUGCCAAUUUUUUGCUAUAUUCGAUCGUUUGUGAGAGACAGCUACAUGGCAUGCCAUAUUAUUGGUUCAUUGUAAAAGAAAGAUAGAGGCAUAGGAAAGUUGUAAUACAAUCUGAUAAGGGUCUUUGUCCUCCCCCCCCCCCCCUCCCCACCACACACACACCACACACACCCCAAUUUAUUUUCUACUGUGUUAUCUUGCACUACUAACGGACAAUGGCUGCAGCACCGGUCUUGACAUUAGAUUAAAAUCCAUACAUCUACUAAGAAUUUAGACUUACUUUCUCCGUCCACGAAAGAAUCAAUUUCUAAAACCUGUACUAGUCAAAUUUUGUUAAGUUUGACUAACUUUAUAGAAAAGAGUAACAACAUCUAUGAAAUGUGCAUCAUAUGAAAAUAUAUUCUAUGAUGAAUCUAAUGAUACUAAUUUGAUACCAUAAAUCUUAACAUUUUUUUUCUAGAAAUUUAGUCAAAGUUUAAAAAAAUUGACUUAAGAUAACUCUAAAAAUUGAUUCUUUCAUGUACGGAGCGAGCAAUUCAUUUCUAAUCAAUUCAGCACUUUUUUCUCCAGUCUAGCAUCGUCUUGUUCGUUGUUUUUUUAAAAAACAAACAAAUUAGGCCAGAGAUCAGCUCCUGCCGAUUAUAUUAAAAAGAAGAAGCCCACAUUGGUAAUACAACAAUGCAACAUCAACAAACCUAAGACAAGUGAACGGCGACGAAACCAACGACAAAGAAAGCAACUACCAAGGUAAACAACAAGGCAACAUUAACUAAACUGACAACAUUAACAACGAAGCGAAGAGGAAAAGAGAUCCCCGUCACAAGAUCUCAGAAAGCACGACCUUUUGUACACAUGAGAGCAAGUCCACUCAUACAAUAUUUAGCUAUUCACUAUUAAUACAUGGCCCACUUAUCUCUCUCAUAAAGUUUCUUGGUUUUUGUGUCUAAGCUGGCUGUAAGCUUAUUACAGCCUGCUUCUCCUCUCUCUCCUCCCUUCUCUCCUCCACAUCAGCAUUUAGCCAGCUUACAGUCCACCAUAAUACUGAGUGACUCAAGUGACUCAAGGAGGUCUGCUGGCAAUAGUUCUUUCACACACAUAUUUUUGAAUUGCAUCAUCAUUGAGCUCCUUGUCAUUCCUAACAAUCCCCAACUCUGCAUAUUUGUUGCUUUUCUGGGUAUACCACUGUGUCCAUAUUAUUCUUACGUGCACGUAUACAAGUGAGGGGAUCAUUCAUUAGAAUCAUGAGCAUCUUGUGUCGAUUUGAUAUAAUCCAUUCUGAUCUUCUUCAGUGUCACCACCACAUUGCUCAUUGUCGUUCUGUGCUCAGGCGACUCAGACAAGCAGAACAACCCCAACUGAAACACUGCCACAAGAAAGCCAUCCAGAUUACUGGUACAACAAGAGCCAUCAUGACCAUGUAGUAGACCAUCAUCCACCACGUCAACAAGAUGUCCGGGAAAUGCUUGAUGGACCCACUGCCUGAUGCUCAAUUCUCCAACGAACAUACCAUCUGUGGGUCUCUUCCCUGUGAACACUUCAAGUAGCAUGAUCCCAUAGCUGAACACGUCGCUCAUCCAUGAUGCCUUUCCAAGAGAACCGUACUCUGCUCAUCAAGAAAUCAUAGGUAUAAAAGUUGUAGCAUGAAUAAUCGUCAAUAAUUUUUUUAAGACACGAUCGAUGACCAGGCAAUUAACAAAAUUGAUUUAAUUAGUAGAGUAUAACAGCAGCAACAAGUACCUGGUGCCAUGUACCCAACUGUUCCAGGCAUGCUUGCAGAGAUCAUGGAACUAUCACCACCAAGCAGCAACCUUGCAAUCCCAAAAUCCGCCACAUGUGCAGUCAUGUCCUCAUCAAAUAGUAUGUUGCUAGUGUUGAAGUGUUCUAAAUUCAACGUGAUGCUUUCUCUAUGAAUAGCAUAUGUGCGUGAAGGAAUUGCAUGCACAUUGUAUGGCUAUGGUUGACAAAAGAAAUGUGGUUGCAUGACAUUCGCAAGGUCAUGGUCUUCAAGAGAGAUGCGUGAUCUUCGUCACACUCCUUGCGCACAGCCAUGGAGUAAUAUUGUUGGAUGGCAUGCAUAGGCUAUGAAUAGUCAUUUGCUCAGAAUAGAGUUCCACCAAGAUGACUAUAUAUUUCAUUCUCUUGUAAGCCACCGCAUGGUGUUGUAACUUGUAACCCGACACUUGAAAAUAGUAAGAAGAGUUGCUGGCUGGCGCCCGUGGUUUUUUCCCUUCGCAUUGGAGGGGUUUUCCACGUAAAUCGUGUGUCUCCGCUGUGAUUGAUUUCGUUUACUUUAUAUUUCUAUACGUCGAUUUCUAACAAGUGGUACCAGAGCUUUGGUUGCUAUUAGGGUUCAUGUCGACGUCGAUGAAGUUCGAUCUUCCGCUGUUGAACUACGACACACGGUUCUCGCUAUGGCAAGUCAAGAUGCGGGGGAUUCUGGCGCAGACUCAUGACUAUGAUGAGGCGCUGGAUAAUUUCGGCAAGAGGAAGGCCGAGUGGACUCCUGAGGAGACCCGCAAGGAUCAGAAGGCGCUCGCACUAAUCCAGCUAUAUCUUCAUAAUGAUAUUUUGCAGGAGUGUUUGAAGGAGAAAACUUCUGCAGAACUAUGGCUGAAACUGGAACCGAUCUGUAGGUCCAAGGAUUUAACCAGUAAGAUGCAGAUGAAGAUGAAGCUGUUCACUCUAAAGAUGAAGGAGGAGGAUUCGGUGAUGACCCACAUCGCUGAAUUCAAGAAGAUUGUGGCUGAUCUAGUGUCGAUGGAGGUGAAGUAUGAUGAUGAGGACUUAGGUCUUUUACUUCUAUGUUCAUUGCCAAAUUCGUAUGCAAAUUUCCGUGACACCAUACUUUUAAGCCGUGAUGAACUAACCCUAAAGGAAGUUUAUGAGGCUCUCCAGUCUAGGGAGAAGAUGAAAGGCAUGGUGCAGUAUGACGGGUCGUCGUCCUCCAAGGGCGAAGCUUUGCAUGUGAGAGGCAGAUCAGAGCAUAGAUACUCCAAUGAUAGUCGUGACAAGAGCUACGAUGGAGAGGCCGUUCAAAGUCCAAGCCGCCUGGUAAUAAAAAAUUCUAUGUUUACUGCAAGUUGAAAAAUCAUAAUGUUGAGGACUGCAGAAAACUAAAGAAUAAGGAGAAGAAAAACAACAAGUCGGCUGGUAAGGUCUCUAUUGUUGCUGCUGCUGCUUCUGAUGAUGAUUCUGGAGAUUGUCUGGUAGUAUUUGCUGGUUGUGUUGCAAGUCAUGAUGAAUGGAUUCUUGAUUCCGCAUGUUCAUUUCAUAUUUGCACUAACAGAAAUUGGUUUAGUUCAUAUGAGCCUGUGCAGAAAGGGAAUGUUGUGCGGAUGGGAGAUGAUAACCCAUGUGAGAUCGUGGGAAUAGGAUCAGUUCAGAUCAAGACUGAUGAUGGCAUGACACGCAUACUGAAGAAUGUCAGGUAUAUUCUAGGGAUGUCUAGAAAUCUUAUCUCAUUGAGCACGCUAGAUGCAGAAGGUUACAAAUAUUCCGGUUCAAAUGGCGUUCUAAAGGUAUCUAAAGGUUCUCUUGUUUGCCUAAAAGGUGAUAUGAAUUCUGCACAUUUAUAUGUCCUUAGAGGGUGUACUUUACCUGGUUCUGAUUCUAUUGCUUCCGCUGUUACUAAUGAUGAACAUAGUAAAACUAACCUUUGGCAUAUGCGUUUGAGACAUAUGAGUAAACUUGGUAUGGCAGAAUUGGUGAAGAGAAACUUGUUGAAGGGCUGCACUCCGAGUAACAUGAAAUUUUGUGAGUAUUGUAUUUUCGGGAAGCAUAAAAGGGUACACUUUAACACUUCGGUUCACACCACAAAAGGUACUCUUGAUUAUGUUCAUACUGAUUUGUGGGGUCCUUCUAAGAAGCCCUCACUUGGUGGUGCUCGUUAUAUGCUUACAAUUAUUGAUGAUUACUCUAGAAGGGUUUGGCCUUAUUUUCUGAAACAUAAAGAUGAUACUUUUGAUGCUUUUAAGAACUGGAAAGUAAUGAUAGAAAGGCAAACUGAAAGGAAGGUAAAAUUGCUUCGUACUGAUAAUGGUGGAGAAUUUUGUUCGUAUGCCUUUAAUGAUUAUUGCAAACAGGAAGGUAUUGUUCGGCAUCACACCAUACCCCAUACUCCACAUCAGAAUGGUGUGGCUGAACGUAUGAAUAGAACCAUCAUAUCCAAGGCCCGUUGCAUGCUGUCUAAUGCCACGAUGAGCAAGCAGUUUUGGGCUGAAGCUGCAAAUACUGCCUGUUACUUGAUAAACAGGUCGCCUUCUAUUCCACUUAAUAAGAAAACUCCUAUUGAGGUAUGGUCUGGUACACCUGCAGAUUAUUCACAGUUGAAAGUUUUUGGAUGCACUCCUUAUGCUCAUGUUGAUAAUGGAAAAUUAGAGCCUAGAGCUGUUAAGUGUCUUUUUCUUGGUUAUAGCUCGGGAGUCAAGGGUUAUAAACUGUGGAAUCCCGAUACAGGAAAGACUUUUAUGAGCAGAAGUGUUGUUUUCAACGAAUCUGUGAUGUUUACUGACAAUUUGCCCUCAGAUCAUGUUCCAAAAACAGAGCUGCAGUGUAUGCGCAUGCAGGUGGAGCAUGUUGAUGAUGAUAUACACAUACAGGUGGAGCAUGUUGAUGAGCAUGAUGACCAUGCUAAUGAUGUUGCUGAUGAUGAUGCUCAUGAUGAUGUUCAGCAAACUCCUAUUUUGCAGCAAGAGGAGGAUUUACCUAUUGCUCAAAGCAAGUCAAAAAGGACAGUUGUACCUCCCAAACGUCUCAUUGAAGAAUGUAAUUUGUCUUACUAUGCUUUGAGUUGUGCUGAACAGGUGGAGAAUGUUCAUGAGCCAGCAACCUACAAAGAGGCUGUUCGUUGUGGUGAUAGUGAAAAUUGGAUUUCUGCUAUGCAUGAGGAGAUGUAGUCUCUUGAGAAGAACAGUACAUGGGAGGUAGUACCUUUGCCUAAGAAAGAGAAGACCAUCAACUGCAAAUGGAUCUUCAAGAGAAAGGAGGGUUUAUCUCCAAGUGAGCCUCCAAAGUACAAGGCAAGGUUAGUAGCCAAAGGAUAUAGUCAAAUUCUGGGUGUUGACUAUAAUGAUGUAUUCUCUCCAGUGGUAAAACGUAGUUCAAUUCGUACUUUCCUAAGUAUUGUUGCUUCACAUGAUCUUGAGCUUGAGCAGUUAGAUGUGAAGACUGCGUUUUUACAUGGAGAGCUUGAGGAGGACAUAUACAUGGACCAACCGGAAGGGUUCAUAGUGCCUGGCAAGGAGAAAUAUGUGUGCAAGUUGAAGCGAUCCUUGUAUGGUUUGAAACAGUCCCCUCGUCAGUGGAACAAGAGGUUUGAUUCAUUUAUGUUGUCACACAGUUUUAAAAGAUCUAAAUAUGAUAGUUGUGUAUACAUCAAGCAUGUUAAUGGAUCACCUAUAUAUUUGUUGUUAUAUGUUGAUGAUAUGUUGAUUGCUGCCAAGCGUAAGAUUGAAAUCACUAGGUUAAAGAAGUUAUUGAGUAGUGAGUUUGAUAUGAAAGAUCUUGGUAGUGCUAAGAAAAUUCUUGGUAUGGAAAUUAGUAGAGACAGAAAAUCUGGUUUGCUAUUUCUAAGUCAACAAAAUUAUAUCAAGAAAGUUCUUCAGCGUUUCAACAUGCAGAAUGCUAAGGCUGUUAGUACCCCUAUUGCACCUCAAUUUAAGUUGUCAGCUGCUCAGUGUCCUAGUACAGAUGCAGAGACUGAUUACAUGUCAAGGGUUCCAUAUUCUAGUGCUGUUGGGUCUUUGAUGUAUGCCAUGAUUUGCUCUCGUCCAAAUUUAUCAUAUGCUAUGAGUCUUGUUAGCAGAUAUAUGUCUAAUCCUGGUAAAGAACAUUGGAGGGCAGUUCAGUAGAUUUUCACGUACCUCAGAGGCACAGCAGAUUCCAGUUUGAAGUUUGGAAGAACUGAUAAGGGUCUCAUUGGUUAUGUGGAUUCAGAUUAUGCUGCUGAUCUGGACAGGCGAAGAUCACUUACAGGUUAUAUGUUUACUGUUGACAGUUGUGCUGUGAGUUGGAGGGCUACUUUACAGUCUGUUGUUGCUUUGUCUACUACUGAAGCAGAAUAUAUGGCUAUUUGUGAAGCGUGCAAAGAAUUAAUUUGGCUAAAAGGUUUGUACGCUGAGCUGUGUGGAGUUGAAUCUUGCAUAAGUUUGCAUUGUGAUAGUCAAAGUGCAAUUUACCUCACUAAAGAUCAGAUAUUCCAUGAGAGAACUAAGCACAUUGAUAUCAAGUAUCAUUUUGUGCGUGAUGUGAUUGAAGAAGGUAAGCUGAAGGUAUGCAAGAUCAGUACUCAUGAUAAUCCUGCUGAUAUGAUGACUAAACCUGUCCCUGUUGCUAAGUUUGAGCUGUGCUCAAGCUUAGUUGGUUUAGUGGAUUAGCCUAAGAGGCUAUUUGGCGCUAGCAAUAUUUUUCUAUGUUAUGUUCAAGAUGAAGGUGUUGAUUUAUGAUACAAGAUGAAUUUGUCUCAAGGUGGAGUUUGUUGAAGUGUUCCAAAUUCAACGUGAUGCUUUCUCUAUGAAUAGCAUAUGUGCGUGAAGGAAUUGCAUGCACAUUGUAUGGCUAUGGUUGGCAAAAGAAAUGUGGUUGCAUGACAUUCGCAAGGUCAUGGUCUUCAAGAGAGAUGCGUGAUCUUCGUCACACUCCUUGCGCACAGCCAUGAAGUAAUAUUGUUGGAUGGCAUGCAUAGGCUAUGAAUAGUCAUUUGCUCAGAAUAGAGUUCCACCAAGAUGACUAUAUAUUUCAUUCUCUUGUAAGCCACCGCAUGGUGUUGUAACUUGUAACCCGACACUUGAAAAUAGUGAGAAGAGUUGAUGGCUGGCGCCCGUGGUUUUUCCCCUUCGCAUUGGAGGGGUUUUCCACGUAAAUCGUGUGUCUCCGCUGUGAUUGAUUUCGUUUACUUUAUAUUUCUAUACGUCGAUUUCUAACAGCUAGGCUUCAAAUCGCAGUGUAGAACCACCUCACAGUGCUCAUGGUGUAGAUACUCCAUUGCCAUCGACACAUCUAGCAUGAUGUUCAGCCUCUCGAGAAACCUCAAAUGCAUACGUCCUUCAGAGUGCAGGAGCGCCUCUAAGCUCCCAUUGGACAUGUAUUGAAGCACCAGGGCUCUGAAGUCUAGGUUAGAACAAGUGUUGAGUAUCUUUAUCAGGUUGUGAUGCCGAGCCAUCCGAAGCACAUGGCAUUCAGCAUCAAAGCUUGCAAAGGCUUGAUCCAAAUGCUUGUGUAUAACUUUUACGGCAACCACCAAAUCAUCACUCAGCUGGCCCUUAUAAACUUUCCCAAAGCUUCCAGAGCCUAACAUGUUGCCCUCACUGAAUUUUUCAGUGGCACGAACCAGCUCAUGGUAGGAGACUAAGACUAACAGAUGGUUAUCGAUCAUGCAUGACGUCAACCAUACCAGCAGAACUUCCUUGACGAUGCUUCCUAGCUUUCUUGGUCACCAUUACACAUAGGCAGGAAGUGAAAGCGAGAGCUCCAACAGCUAUGACAAUUGCAGUUGGAAGCAAAUAUGUUAGCAAGUGGCGGUUGCGUCUGGGAGAUUUGGUUCGGCAUGGUGGAAACCCUAAGCAGGAAGCGCCACCACAUAGUAGUCCGGAGUUCCCCACCAAGGACUCCAGAGUGAUGUUUGAGAAUACACCUCUUUCUGGUAUAUGACCUUGCAGCUUAUUGUAGGACAAAUCUAAACUAGAGAGGAUGGAAAAAUUGGCCAAGUACUCCGGGAUUGUGCCAGAAAUAUUGUUAUGGGACAGGUCCAGAAUAUGCAAGUUCGUUAGUUUGUUCAAUGAGUUGGGAAUCGUGCCAUUGAAUGAAUUGACUGAUAGGUUCAAAUGUGUUAUCAUCUGAAUUUUCCCUAUUGAAUCUGGGAGACUUCCACCAAAGCGAUUGACUGAGAAAUCAAUAGCAUCAAUCUGCUUAGCUUAUAUCAACUGGUAAUAUACCACUCAACAAGUUUUGAGAUAGAUCUAGCUGGAGGAGGUUAUCAAGAUGGAAUAAGCUCAGCGGUACAACCGAUGUUAACUUGUUAUCAAAUAAGAAUAGGUACUCUAACUUGGUGAGGUUACCAAUGCCCUUGGGCAUGGAGCUAGAAAAUUCGUUGCUUUGAAGGUAUAACAUCACUAUAUAUAUUAGCUAACAUUCCAAUAUUUGAGGGCAUGGAGCCAGAGAAUCUAUUUUGACCAAGCUGGAGCAAUUGGAGACUGUUUAUUAUCAUGAUUGGCUCUGGAAUGGAACAAUGCAACUGGUUACCAUUAAGAUCUAGAUCAAGCAAAGAAGUUAAAUUCGAAAUGGCAGCUGGAAUCUCACCAGUUAACUUGUUGUCACGUGCAAUGAAGUAUUGCAACUUGGUUGAUAGGUUCCCCACAAAACCUGGAAGGCUCCCAGUGAAAUAAUUCCAAUGAAUUUCAAGGAGGAUCAUGACAAGUGGAAAUAUAUCUGGAACUCGAAAGAUUUCUCGGUGAAGAAAACCUACAAGCAUCUUAGUGGAAACCAGAGAGUACACCCUGCCUACAACUGGUUGUGGGCAUCGGCCUGUCAGUGCAAACAUAAAGUAUUUUUUUGGCUGCUAAUGAAGGACAGAAUAAGUACCAGGGAAUUGCUCAAAAGGAAGAAUAUGGUCCUUCAAGAUUUUACCUGUGUUCUGUGCAAUAACAAUACAGAAGAGUCUUUGCUCCAUCUUUUCCUUGAGUGCCCAUUUGCGGCCCAGUGUUGGGGUGCAAUCAACAUCCACAUAGCUCAAUAUCCAGACCCCUUCGAGUUUCUGCUGAGCUUCAGGAACCAGCUUGGAGUUCCUUUCUUCAUGGAAAUAAUAAUUCUAAUGGCUUGGUCAAUUUGGAAGUCGAGGAAUGAUCAAAUUUUUAGACAAUUGCAGCCAUCCUUACUUGGGGCCAAGCAUUCCUUCAAAGAAGAGUUUCAGCUGCUGCUUCUUAGACUAAGGAAGGACUACCUCCCCCUUGCUGAACAAUGGAUAGCAAAUCUAGCUUAGCUGUUCUUUUUGCAGUUUUAACACUGCUUUUCUUAGUAUCUUUUUUUGUUUCUUGAGCCCCCGGUGUUUAGGCUCACUAGGACCACUAGGAUCACUGGUUUCUGUUUUGCUCCUUUCUUGUACUGUUCACAAACCCUUCUUUUAAUAAAUGCUGUAGGGGUGAAAGCCCCUCCAGUUUAGUUCAAAAAAAAAAAGGUCCAGCAGAUUUCUGCAGUUGGAAAGAGCAGACAAGAACUCUAGAUCACCCUGCAAGAACCUGAAGGUACCGACACGUUGCUAGUCCAAUUGGAAUUUUACCAGUGAAACUAUUAGAGGAGACUGAGAACCACUGCAGAAGUGGCAGGUUGAAGCUUUGGUUGCCCAGGAUUGGUCCGGUCAAGCCGUUCAUGGCUAGAGCAACAAGACCCAGUGUAGAAAUAUAAUGUUGUAGAUGCCUGGCAGCGCAACCCCGUAAGAUUGUUCACUUGCAGGUUCAGGUAUUGGAGCACUUGUAAGGAACCUAUGCAACCAGGUAUCGGCCCUGAAAGGCUGUUGUUGCCGAUGUUCAGAUAAGUUAGCAAAUGUGUGUUGUUGAAUAGAUGAACCGGAAUUGGGCCUGUGAGACCAUUCCGGCGGAGAUUGAUGCUGCCAAGGCUGUGCAGGCCCUGCAGCUCUGUCGGAAUCGGACCAAACAGCUGGUUGAACUCGAGGUCGAGAAUUUGGAGCCUCGUGAGGUUUCCUAAAGUGGCUGGGAUGCCACAGACAGAGCAUUGCAGCCAAGAUCAAGGAGCUUGAGGCGACACAGCCUUCCGAUCUCGCUUGGGAUUGCACCGGCGAGGCUGGUGUUGGUGAGAUUGAGCACAGAGAGGAAAGAGAGGUUACCGAGGUGAGGGCUGAGCACUCCCUGGAGGGCAACACCCGGUAACUCUACAGCGGUCACGCGCCGCCGGUGCCUACUGCACGAGGACGCCAACCCAGUAGCAGAACAGCGUGCCGGUGGUCCAGUUCCUGCCAAGGACGCCGAGAGGAUCCGAGAGCUGGGCCUUGAAAGCCAGCAGCUCAAUGCCGUCGGAGCUGCUCCCGUUCAGAUGAACUGGAGAUGGAGAUGCAGCACGACCAUGCACAGUGGACAAGGCGAUCAACAGAAUGAUGGGUAUGCAAGCUAGAAACCCAAGCGCCAUGGUUUUGGGACUUUAGUUCUGGGCUGGGUGCCAAGCAUUGGCCACAAGAGAGCUUUAAUAAUUUACUUCACUCAAGGCCAUGUACCUGAAUGCAAAAGCAACUGCUGCUUUCAAUGGCGAAGACUACUGCUCAGCAAGUGUGCAUGAAACAUUGACUGGAUCAACAAUAAACAGUUUCACCUUUGACAAAAGAGACCACCACAAUAACACUAGUCAAAAAGAGUAGAUUGUAGGUACUCAGCCCUAUUUGGUUGGUCGUGGUAAAGUUUACCGCCUACCACAUUGAAUGUUUGAACACAUGCAUGAAAUACUAAAUAUAGACUAUUUAUUAAACUAAAAACACAGCUAGAGAGUAAUUUACGAGAUAAAUUUUUUGAGCCUAAUUAGUCCAUGAUUGGACACUAAUUGUCAAAUAAAAUAAAAAUAUAACCGUACCUGUUAAACUUUAACAACAUUGAAUCUCCAACCAAACACCCCCUAGUACAUGAUAUGGAGAUCAAAGUUGACGGACUGCUAGUGGGGAUAUUGUGUACUUGUUCUCCAUGGCUGCCCUUGGGAGCGUCGCCGCCGUGCUGUACUCCAUGGCAGGCGUGGAGGUGCUGCAGUCAUGCGGCCAAGGCAAGCUUGGGACGACCAUGGCGAGUGGGCCACACGGGCGACACUGGACGUUGGGGGCAUGGGGAGGCGGGCGAGCGUGGGAGAGCUAGCACAGAGGGGCUCGCUGUCGAUGGGAGGGGUCGCGGGUGUUGGUGGCUAUGGCGCUGCCGUGGGGGUGGAGAAGAAGCGCUCGAUCCGUUUUGUGCGAGCCCGUUCCGUCCAAGCGUGCAUCUACGAAAGGAAAAGGAAAGGGCAAGGGUAAAUGAGGCCUUGUUUAGUUCUAAAAAAUUUUGCAAAAUUUUUUAGAUUCCCUGUCAUAUCGAAUCUUUAGACGCAUGCAUAGAGUAUUAAAUAUAGACGAAAAUAAAAACUAAUUGCAUAGUUUGGUCGGAAUUGAUGAGAUGAAUCUUGUGAGCCUAGUUAGUACAUAAUUGGACAAUAUUUGUCACAAACAAACGAAAGUGCUACAGUACCUAUUUUGCAAAAUUUUUUGGAACUAAACAAGGCCUGAGUCACAAAAUUUCGUUUAAGGGCAUCAGAUGGCAUUCUAGCGGGCGUGUUUUAUAAUGGCAAGCUAGCAAAGCCCCAUUGUGGGAUAAUAUAUCACCGAAACUCAUUUUUCAUAAUGGUCGUGUCGAACAAGCAGCAAAGGGAACAAAGCUGACCACUAGGCUGUUUCUUGUGACCUUGUGGGCAGCUCAGCCGUGGGCUUCUGGCCCAAUUAAACAAUUGGAUGUACAUGUAUAUACUGUGUAUAUUGGUUAGCAAAUGUCUAACUCACUCAAAGAAAAAUAUAUACUAUGUAUAUGUUGCUCAAAAAUUAUGUAUACUAUGUAUAAUUAUUUUUUCUCCUAAAAAAUAUAAGUUUAUUUUCCUUACUAGCAAAUCCACCUUGAGUAUUCCAUACAAUACAGGGGAAUAUCCCUUUCAUCACUCAUGCACGAUAGUAGUUGGGCCCCAAGGGCCAGAAUAAAAUCUUAGAACAUCUUCAAAAGACUCUCUAUACCUUUUCUUAUUGACAUAAAUAGAGAUUUUGAUGAAAAAUAUUAUCCACUAGUUUCUUUUGUUAGAUAUUCAAAUAUUGUCAUCCUGCAUUUUGGACUUUCUUUGCUAGCCAAAGUUAGAGGGUGAGCUUGGCUCUCUAGAAUGCGCCAGGAUAGAAAUCUAUUGGAGAGCAAAAAGAUAUAAAAAUGAAAUUUACUCAAAUAGCUCUCCAAGUGAUGAUUUAAACAAUGAGAUUAAGAGAGAUCCUUGAAAAUGCUCUAGCAACUGUUGGUGGCUGGAUAAAUGUGUUAUUUUUGAUCCAUAUGCUACCUAUAUGACUGGGUGUUUUGUUUGGAUCCACAUGUCAAAAGGUGAAUGUAUUGAUGGAAUGACGACGGUUUCUACAAUGCCCUUCCUCUUAUAUUGUGACAUUAGUAGGCGGGAGGGCAAAAGUAUCUUUUGCAAUUUAUAGUUGUUAUUAGCUGAGUUGGAAUAACUAAUGAGAUAUUUGUUAACUAGGUAUCCAACUAACAAUUAGCUGCUUUCAUUUAGAUUCACCCUAGUUGAUUUUUAGCUGGUUGUAUCUGCUAAAGAGGUCAUAAUGAAGUUGAUGGAACGUGGACAUGAAAUUAUAAUGGGGAGAGAGAUAGGGGAACAUAAAAAAUGAAGAACUUGAGAGCCAUAGCACUUGCAUAGCAAAGGGUACUCACUUAGGCCUGGCCAGUCAGUGAGGAGCUUUGUGAUAUUAUUUCUAAGAUUCUUAUCAUAUAUCAUGAAAUGAAACACCCAUCAAUAAAAAAAAGUUUCACUCUAUGGUUUUAUAAAUGUUUAAUUCCAUAACUCGUAGAGAGUUGUAUCUAGAUGAAAGUCACUUCUCUCUCUCUCUUUUAAAAAUAUUGCUAUGUCAGCAAAAAUACUUAUAUUAUAGUCUACUAAAUGCGGAUGAGACUCACAUGAAACUGCCCACUACGAUUGGCCUUAUGUGGCAACUCUCCUCCGUUAAUGUCCAGUAAUACCCUCUAAAUUAGGGCUGCAAGUUACCUAAGUAUUGGCGGACUAUAUUUUCUAAGGUUCAGUAAUAGCCCUAAAUCUUAGCCACUAGCUACUUGUUUUAUGAUAUUUGGAACCAGUUAGUCAUUGCCUCAUUGGAUCAUCCAAUUCUCUCACACUGCUCUCUCUCUCUCUUCUUCCUCUUUUAUCAUCUCUUAUCUGCCACACUUUCUCCUCACAUGGUUGCGCUCUUUUCCUAUUGUUUCCUCGGUUCCUCCUAUGGCACCUAUUGAGAACCUCAUGAUAUAUGUGGCCUAAAAACAUCUUCAACAUCCCCUUUCCCCUUUUACUUAUUUUUUAUAGGGAUCACGAAAAUUGAAUUAUAGGUUAUAGGGGAAGAAAAAUCCAUCACCUUUAUUUAUAUAGGACCCACAUGUCAGUGACACACCUCUCAUUUCUUCCUUCUUUUCUCUUUUUCCUCUCCCUUCCUCUCUGAGUGCUCGUCUAGCGCCCUAAAUGCUCGGGUCAGCGGCACAGUUGGUCCGAGCAAAUGCCCACCGGCUGCAGUGGGUGGUGCGGCCAGCACGAGCGCGCUCCUGCCGGCACAAUAGUGGAUUGGCAGCUUAUGCCCUCGCCCAACUAGCACGGUAGUGGUUUUCAACGUCCCACACACUCGCAGCAGCGGCCCACAUGUCCAUGGUGGUGACGCAGCUCCACCCAUCUUGGGGGGCCAUGUCAUCGAAGGAGGAAAAAAGGAUUGAGAAAAUGGUGGCAGAUCCCCUUCAUUUGAGAUUAAGGUGGUAUUUUGAGAGAUUGAGAAAAUUUUUAGGAAAAAUGACAUCCGCAAGAGCAUGUUUUUUUCCUUCAAUGCCCUUUAUUGUUGUUGGUUUAGGGAAAGGAUAUUGGUUUUUCUCAAUCAGCUGGAUCUCCAACAGAUCACUUACUCAUCCCCAAUACUAAAAAUAUGAAAUAUAAGGGAUUACAGUUGCUCCAAGAUUGUAUAUCCAAUACAUAAAAGUUUUAAGUAAUACCUAAAAUCCAACCCCUCUUCCUCGAAUGUCAGUGAUCCACUCUCCCUCCCCUAUCUACUUUAAAGGUAUUGGUAAUUUGUUGAGAGAGGAGAAGAAAAGACUAUGUUACUAAUAAUAGGAAAUCGUCAAUUUAGACUUCCAGAGAACAUAUGAUAAAUAAUAACCCAUUAGAGAUGCUACUGCCCCUUCUUGAUGUAGUCCAUAGCAAGUUACCCAUAAUCUUAUGGACUAUCCAUUGAGAAUAAAAAAUAUUACUUUAUUUUUUUUCUCCUUCCUCUCUAUUGGUCUUGUACAGGACUGUAGAGAUGAAUAAUUUUUUAUUUUAGAUAGAACCCACCUUAUAGACUACUUGUUGGCUUAAAUAUCGUGGAAACAAAACCAUAAUUAUACGCUGAUUAUGUUGGUCUGUAUAUGGAUUACUUGGUCUAUAUAUAUUAUGGUUGCUCUAAUACCCCUUGAAAAUGAUACUGCGCGGCUGUUCGUUCUAUCCAACACCACGCACAUGGACCUAUGGCCCAAUUAGACCAACGCAGAUGUCACCAAAGAAAGAAGAUCGUGUUGGUUCCUCUGACGCCUCAUCAUUUCCAUCGCCUCUGCAUGCACCGGCCGCUCGCUGCUACGCUCGCCGCUGCUUUCGCUGCUACGCUUGCUGCUGCGCUCAUUGAUGCUCUCCAGGAUGGACGCAUGCUCGCAUCCAGCUUGCUGCUACGCCUGCCUAUUCGCGCUCUUUCCCUCCCUCCUCCCUCAGCAACCUCCCUGCUCCCUCAUCAGACACAAGGAUGACGGCGGCUCCAGCAAGAUAGGUCAGGUCUUUUCUAGAUUUGAGCCUCCUCCUCCUCCUUCUUCUCCUCCUCCUCCUCCUCCUAAUCCUCAUCCUUAUCCUUAUCCUCCUCCUCCUCUAGAUUUAAGGGACACAGUGGUGACUAAAGGUCUGGUGAACUCCUGCUUCCUCCGGCGAGCUUGAUGGUGAUGGGCUAGGGGUUGGAUCAGAGCCUAUCCCCUUACUGUUUUUGCACGUCUUUUUUCGUUGUUUCUCCGUGUUAUAAUGGUUUUUUAAUAUUGUGAUAGAUGAUUUUUAAAUAUUGUAAUGAGAUUCUUGGGUUCUUUCAACAGAUGACUUUCGAAUAUUUCCUUUCCAUUUUCAUGGUUAAUUUUGCGAUGUUGCAAUACUAUUAUUUGAGAUGGUGCAACACAUAAUUUUGGAUGGUGCAACACAUAAUUUUUAUGUUGCAAUAUAUGUUUUUUCGAUGUUGCAGUAUAUAUUUUUCGAUGUUGCAGUACUUUAUUUUUGAUAUUGCAUCACAUAAUUUUCAAGUUGCAGUACAUAUUUUUCGAUGUUGUUAUAUAUUGUUUUUGAUGUUACACUACAUAUUUUUAUGAUAUUGCAACUUUUAUAUUUUGAUGUUGCACUUGCGAAUAUGUUACGUUGGGGACGGGGACAGAGGCGUGAUGGGGAACGGGGCCCAGUGGGGGAAAAAGGCGUGAUGGAGAAUGGAGUGCUGUGGGGGAACUGGGUGCAGUGGGGAACAGGGACGGGGGGCAUGAUGGGGAACGGGGAUAGGAUGCGGUGGGGAACAGAGUCAGGAGCGCGGGUGCAGAACGGGAUGCGAUGGAGGAACGAGAUGCAGUUAGAGAGCGCUACCUGGAACGUGCGUCCGGACGCUGCCUGCAUCCUAACGUCCGGGCGCUAGGUAUUCCGCCCUUGCACUAGUUACCUCACCCCUAGACCCCCUCCACCAGGCCUCGCAGCUUCUUAUUCUCGAUCUCACUCACCAAUCGCUAGCGGUCGUCGGAUGCGGGAUGAGCGGUAAGAGCAUCUCCAGCAAUCCCCCUUUCCUAACUCCCAGUGAGAAAAAAUAUUUAUUUUAGAGAUCUUAUAACUUCAGCAGUUUUUCAAACCCAAUCCCAAUGAGAAAUUUUUCUCAGUCCUUCAAAUCCUAGUCUCCUACCUCUCAAAUAAAUGAGAGACCUUCCUCCCCUAAUCCACUGUUUUUUUAUUGGAGAUUGGAUUUUCUCAUUCUGCUAGAGAAAAGACUUUUAAAAACCUUAAAAAAAUGUUUUGUAUCUCCUCCGAUAACUAGGUCGGAAUUUACUCCAACUACGAUGCUCUAACUUCGUGCUCGUGCAUGUGUGGGCCCCGUCCAAGAAACGGAACACACGGGUGGCUCUGGUGCCACCGCGGUGCCAUCCCCAUCCGGGCAUGCAUGCUAUUGCUUGCUGCCUGUGUCAAUAAGUCACAGCAAGCGACAAGGGAGCAGGGCUCUCUUCAGGAAUCACAGGAGCACGAGGCGAUCCACCCGCAGUACCGGACGAUCACGAGCCUGUGAGUAAUUUGGAUGGAGAAACAUCACCACGGUCUUAUUUAGUUCUAUUUUUUUUUGCAAAAUAGACAUUAUAGUACUUUCGUUUGCAUUUUACAAAUAUUGUCCAAUCAUAAAAUAACUAGGCUCAAAAGAUUCGUCUCACAAAUUAUAGAUAAACUGUUCAAUUAAUUAUUUAUUUUAUCUAUAUUUAAUACUAUAUGCAUUUAUUGUAAGAUUUAGUGUGACGAAAAAUCUAGAAUAUUUUAUAAAAAAAUUUAGAAACUAAACAAAGCCCAGAUCAGACAACAGUGGCUCGGUGCCACUUGGCCACUGCCAGUAUGCCACCUUUGAACCGGCCGAGUCUUCGUCGGCUCUCUACGCCAGGGCUAUAGAUGUACAUUUGGCCCGUUAAAUUUAGCCCGGUCCGUGGCCCGGCCUUUUGGCCCGGUCCGUGGCACGGCCCGGUCUGGUGUUUGCGGGCCACGGGCGGCCCGGCCCGUUGCCGGACCGGGCCAUGGGCCGCACCCUCGGCCCGCAGCACGGUGGUGGCCCGGUCGGCCCGUGGCCCGACACGGCCCGCUCAUUUUGUUCUAUAUGUUGUGAUUUUGUGCUCUUUCUCUUUGAUAUAACUUGUGAAUUGAGAUAUGUUUUGCUUGAAACAAUGAAAUUGUAUGCUGCUUCUUUCAUAUAUGUUGUGAUUUGUGAAAAAAAUUGACCUUUGUUAAAAAAAACUGAUAAAUUAAGACAUGAGAUGCUUGUCGGGCUGUGGGCCGGCCCGGCCCGACCGGGGCGGCACGGCCCGGAAAAAUGGCCCACGGGCCGGACCAUGGGCCGCACCCUCGGCCCGCAGCACGGUGGUGGCCCGGCCCGCGGCCCGACGUGGCCCGCCCCGUGCCGGCCCGGUCCGGCCCGUUGUACACCUAUAGCCAGGGCCUCAAGUCCUUAGCGGGAUUUUUUUAAUAUAUAUGUAUAUAUAUAUAUAAAACUCUCUCCAACUUUGCUCAAAAGCUCGAAUUUUCAUGGAAAAAACCAUAUUUUUUUAUCUCUUCAACCUCAGUCACAAGAGAAGUAGAUUGGACUACAUCGAUAAUUUGAUAGCCGGCGCGGUUAUACUUAAUAAAAAAAGUAUGGACACAUUUUUUAAUAUCAAAACAAAUUCCAAAUAUUUUUUUUGGAAAAGUUAUGCAACUAAAACCCAAAUAAGUUUAAGAUCUUUUCUUAAUUAAAUCAUGCUCUAUCUUGUGGUUGGUCUGGUUUAGAAAUAUUUUAUUUUUAUAUGGCCUUUUGGUGUCUUUUUCUAGUGCAUGCUCUUCUUUUAUGUUAAAACUAGACUAUGAUUAUGACCUAGAUUAUGUAAAAGUUUAUGUGACUUCGAGGACGCCACAACUCCACGAAGUGACACGUAACUAACUCAUACUUGAUCUUAUUUAGUAUGAACACAUGCGUCACUUGCACAUGAUGCAGUAAUUCAAAAUUCAUCGAACCUCACAUCUAUGAACACAAGCACACACAAACCUCAUGUGUCAAUUUUGUGCUAGUAAUUCAAAAUUCACCAAAUUAAAUUCAUUUUUAUGUUUGUAAACAAGAAACAGAAAACAUGAACUAUUGGUAUAAGAUGUUUCUUUGCAAUAGGUCGAUCGAGUCUACAUCAACCACAGGUAGCUAGAUUGCUUAAUUCCCAUCUUCUUGUGUCGAGUAGCGACUUGUAUCCAUAUUAAAUAGGAUCAAGUAUAAGAUGUUUACAUCAAACUUAUGCAGAAUGCAGUCAUCAAAGUCACUUAGCUAGCUUGAACGACUUGGGUCAUCAACAUAGACCACAAUUGUAACAAAUAACGAGUGUUUUCACUAGCAAAUAACCAUCAAAAGAAGACCAUAUAAGAUUCAAGUAAUUCUAGGCUAGGUGCUACAAUAUAAACUACUACUAUAAAUCUUAUAUUAAAUAUUUCAACCAAUAACAAUUUUCAAAUAUAUAUAGGUGGUUAGUAGCGCUCCCAAAAAUGGACAACAAUUCUAGGGCAUCUAGAAACACCAACUGCCUCUAGAAAUUCUACAAACAAAUUGCCCCUUGAACCAUUUUAGGGUCAUUCUUUUAUGUAACCAUAGCUAGAAAAAUGAGACGCGUCUCUGUAACCGUUUAUGUUGUAUUGAUAGAGCAUGUCUCUAAUAAUCAUCGUCGGAUGAUACAAAUAGUCUUCUAUUCCCUUCACAGUAUCGUUUGGUCACACGUUGCAUCAUGUGACUUUAAUUUCUUCACUGCCACUUGUCAUUUUUGUAUAAUCCAGUGGCCUUCAGUUCUCCUCGGCGGAUGAUUCCGUGACUUGAAAGUGGACCUAUCUUCAUAUGGUUAUCAUCGUAUGAUCAAGUGGACAUAUUUCACUUGAUUUGGUGCUUGUUUUUGGCUUCAUUUUUUUCUCAUGGCCUUGUUCGUUCUUUUUACAGCUUGUUUCUUAGCAUCCAUAGGAUUUAUAUAAAUUUGCAAACAUAUCUCAACACCAAUUAAUGUAAGGUAUAUCGAUUGAAUAACCAAAAACCACAAUAGAAUAUGGCACUGUGCCCCCAUGUACUCCUUGCAACUAGUUUGGCAAGUUACGACGCAACGGGGAAAUGAUUUUACUAUUUAUUUUUUUACCAAAAAUUUCCUAUAUAUACGUCCUCCAUCCUAAAAUACAAGGGACGAUUUAGAGUUUAAAAUUUGUACCAAAAAUACAAUCUUUAUAGCGAGAAAAAUACUGAGAUUCCUUAAACUUGACGUCAUCUAAAACACUUGAACUAUUCCCAGUCCAAAUUAAACUUAUCGACCGAAUCUAACAACCAUUUAACAUUGUACAUGCCACGGCUUUUCAGUUAAGCAAAUAGACAUUAUAGCCAUGUGUUUCGUCCGAUGCAUCAUACCCAUAUAGGUUUCAGAAAACUUUAUCCAUCCUCUGAACGCUGAAGCGUUAUCGUUGUACAGAGAGGCAAAGAAUAGCCGCCAGCGAGGCAAAAAUAGGACACGCGGUAUGUAUUUAAUUAUUAUUAUAAGGAGCCAUCUCGAAACAUGCAUAUAUAUAUUAUUUUCCCUCAGAUCUCGCCGCGCCACGCAUACAUUAUCCCAGACUUUUGCAGUAGCGAGCUUGAUCUUUGCAGUAAACGACUAGCAGUAAUACUACUAGUAUGUAUUUAUGUAACAGGACACGUACGGCAUCGAUCAGCACCAUGCAUGGUCGUCCAUGGAUCAUAUCAUGGCUUUCACGGGGAGAUGGAUCGGAGUACGUGCUUAACCAUGAUCAUCAGUACACGUAUCUCGGAGAGGGUCGUACGUCGGCGGUAUUCCGGUGAUGGCCGCGGCCGGCCGGGCGAUUAGUAGCUGUAGUUCUUGACGAACAUGCCCUCCUUGGCCUCGGCGGCCUCGCCGUCGGAGGUGUACUUGCCGAGCUGCGCCAGGGAGUUAGCCUUGGCGCGGAGCAGCAGCGCGUCCUGCGCCGCCGUCACCUUCUCCGGCUGGCCGCCCCAGGUCUUGAGGCAGGUGUUCUGCAGCGCGCGGGCGUAGGAGAAGGACACGUGCCACGGGUUGGUGCCCUGGUUCAUGGCGUUGAGGUUCUGCGUCGCCUCCACCUCCGACUGGCCUCCCGAGAGGAACAUGAUCCCCGGCACGGACGGCGGGAUCCGGCGGUGCAGGAGCUUCAGCGUGUACUCCGCCACCUGCUCCGGCGUCGCCCUGUCCUUGGCCUCCGCCCCCGGCGUCACCAUGGAUGGCUUCAGUAGGAUGCCCUCGAACAUCACGUUGUUCUCCGCCAUCGCGUAGAACGUCUCCGCCCACACCUUCUGCGCCACCUCGAACGUCCGCUCGAUCCCGUGCUCGCCGUCGAGGAGGAUCUCCGGCUCCACGAUCGGCACCAGCCCAUUGUCCUGCAAGAACGAAGGUUGUCAUGCAGGUCAUGCCACGCAUCAUGUAUCGUGUUUUUCUCUCACGAUUAUAAAUCAGUGAACAUAUUACUUUCAACCAUGACUUUUCAGAUAAGCGAACAAUAGCAAAUAAUAAAGCAACCAACCUGUGAGAUGGCGGCGUAGCGAGCGAGGCCCCAGGCGGCCUCCUUGACGGCGAGCUCAGAGGGGCCAUUAGGGAUGCUGACGACGGUGCGCCACUUGGCGAACCGGGCGCCCUGCUGGUAGUAGGCGGCCUCGCGAGAGGCGAG
rnacentral:lncRNA from 1 species